UAGGAUAGCAAAUACCUUAAACAUUACCAGAUCCCAUCUGAUCUUGGAAGCUAAGCAAAGUCAGCCCUGGUUAGUACUUGGUUGGAAGACGACCAAGGAACACCAGCAGCUAUAGGCU
rnacentral:rRNA from 1 species